CUCCCACCGUCGAGCGCCGCUGUUGUGGUGGCGUUUUCCUUCGGAGAGGAGUUGUGCUGGAGGAGCAUGGCCCGACGCCACCGUCCUCGGCUCGCCCCGCCGCCAACUGGGCAGGUCUCUCUCUCUCACUCUCCCGUUGGUAUGCUAGCAAAGUCGACCAGAUCUCGAUUCCUGGCCCAAAUCGUGGGAACAAUGGCAGAUGCAAAUGUUGAGGAUGCUGGUGAGCUGAGAUGGACCCAAUGCUUAAUCCUAUACGGAAGUCAGCCAGGUCAAAUGAUCUUUAAUGAUGUGCUUGGUAGAACGAUUCAAGAUGAUGAGGUUUUCAUCAGACGUGUGGGUAUUGAAGGCAUAUGAUGGGUACAUCAUUAUCCUGGUGGUUCCAUCUCACCGUGAUCAGGUUUGUAGAUUAUUGGAAAUCCAAAAAUCUGGGGCUAUUUAGGGCUGAAAGAAAAGUAAAGUGACCGGAUUGUUGUUAUCCUCUCUUUCUCCGCCCCGACGAAAUGCAGAGUUUAAUCAUGGAUAUCAAUCCCUUCUGGUGGAAAAAGGUGGAGCAGACGUUUUGAUAUAUGUAGUUCACCUAUGCAUGGAGCUGUGUGAAGCCAACAAAGAUGUGUUGCAUCCCUGAGAAGGUAAGGUCAUCUUUUUAUUUCGCCUGAGAUCAUGUCUUACGAUAACUAUAUUAAUGUCCUACUAGCUAAAUGCCUGCGCGUUGCCGCGAAAUAAUAAAAACAUAUGUACUCUCUGUUUUGAAAUAAAUAAAUAAACUUUGCGUAGAACGGAUGUACGUGUAUCUAGACGUAUUUUAGCGUGAUCUAUUGGUAAACAAAAUUAAGUGACUUGUUUUCGAAUGGAGGUUAUAGUUCUCAACCACGUGGUGACAAAUCUUCUUUUACAUUGCCCUUCAUGCACUACUUCUUGGAGUGAAAAAUAGAGGGCGACAUGCCAGGCACAGUACCAUCACAAGCUACACCUUAGUACAGAUAAAGAAAAGGUACCAGCUAUAUCCGGCGGCGGCAACGACGGAGGUGUCGCUGAGAAGUGUCGGCACCUCCCUCGCCUACUUCGAUUGUCAUCUUCGAGUGAAAGCCAAGAUUCAGGCUAGAGGCUCCAGGGGUUUCCUUGAUUUCUGCUCAGUCACUCCACUGCUUGGUGUUCGAUAAUGCUGGUUGCUGCUUUUUUAUUCAGAAACUCAAGAGACAUUUUUGUUAAUAUCGUAGGUCAGCAAACUGGAUGCAAGCGGGCAACCCCUGUUCUGCUUUGACGCAGUCAGGAUUUCAUCAACAACAAACUAGAUGCUGCUCUUCGAGCUGCUGCUGGGCCGGAAGCUGGAGAGGUGUUUUGUUGGGGCCGGCGGCGAGAUGGAAGCUAGCCGGUGAGGUGCUGGCAGCGAGGUUCUGGUCGAGGAGAUCCUGGCCAGCGAGGUGGGCGAUCUUGAAUUGAUUGAUUCUGCGAUAUAAUUGUCCUUUACUACUAAUUUGUGAUGUUCAAAAUUUCUUUACAUGUGCUAACGGAUGGAGUAAGAAUGUGUUUACAUAUGUGAACGGAGGGACCAAGAAUGUGUUAUCUGUCUAAUAUUGUAUUGCAUAAUUAUGCCACCUUCAUUUAGCUGUUGCAUAAUGUAUACUUAUCACAGUUUAGUUUAACUACUUGCACAACAUUCAUUCAUGCGCGCGGCAAGCAGCGCUUCCCUACCUAGUAUCCAUCCAUUCCUCCCUAGACAGCGUGUUUGGCAACAGUGGGGAAGGGGAAUAGUAGUUUAGUCGUGGGAGUUAGCUGGGGGAUUAGUCAGCUGAUAUAGCUAUUUAAUCCCAUUCCCUUAUUUGGUGCCUGGUGAGAAGUAGCUGUGGAAUUUCAAAGGGAGUUCCUCGCCCUGUUUCAUUUGUGGGAUUAUUAUGCAUAUAUAGAAACCCUAGACGGGUCAGGCCUCCUCAUCCAUUCCUCCCUCUUCCAGCCGCCGCAGCCGCAUUGCCCUCCUCCUGCAGCAGCUCCUCCCCUCUGCCCCAGCCUCUGACCUCAACCUCGCGCUCGUGUACCCGCAUCACCAGCUCAAGGUGAGGUUGCGCAGGGAUGGACGCCGGUAACCGUUUCUUCAUCCUCGACGCCCUGGACGGCGACCUCACCAACGGGGCUCUCAAGGCGGUGCUCCUCGGCACCAAGUCCUCCGCCCUCGGCCUCCCCACGGCGCGCUGGUUUGUUGCGCCGCCGCCACCUCGCCGCUCGACUCUCGCAGCGCAGCCAUGGUGGAGCAGAAGAAAAAAUUCUGCUUCUGAAGACCUUGGAGGAGCUACUCUUGAUGCGCAGAGCUGUCGGUGUAUACAGGUAUGUUGAUGUUAAUGUUCAGUUGAUAGACAAAGCUGGAGAUUUUGUAGGCUUGAUAAGCCUGCUUUGCAUGAGACAAUGGUCAAGAUGGUUUAAAUCUGUCAAUCAUUGAUUCAGAACUUCUGUGAUCUACAAUUGCUCUCUGCCAUGUGCUGUGUGCGGCCAAGCAUAUGGCUGGCUUAUGCGAUGAUGGUAGAUGGUCAUCCUUUUGGUGUUGAUCCUUAUGCUUAGUCUGAUUUAAGUUGUAAAAGCUCUUACUGUUUUGUUCUGUUGGUUUGAAAUUUAGAUGGAUGAAACUUUAUUAUCUGUGUUGUCCGUAUGCCUUAAAUUAUGGUUUGACAUUCGACUGUGUGAUGAAAAGUUGGCUAUUUAUCUAGAAUUUACAGAGUAACGUAAUGACUU